AGUGAACGCUGGCGGCAGGCCUAAUACAUGCAAGUCGAACGGCAGCACAGUGGAGCUUGCUCCAUGGGUGGCGAGUGGCGGACGGGUGAGGAAUACAUGGGAAUCUGCCCAGUCGUGGGGAUAACGUAUGGAAACGUACGCUAAUACCGCAUGCGCCCUUCGGGGAAAGUCGGGGACCGCAAGGCCUGACGCGAUUGGAUGAGCCCAUGUUCGAUUAGCUAGUUGGCGGGUAACGGCCCACCAAGGCGACGAUCGAUAGCUGGUCUGAGAGGAUGAUCAGCCACACUGGAACUGAGACACGGUCCAGACUCCUACGGGAGGCAGCAGUAGGGAAUAUUGGACAAUGGGCGCAAGCCUGAUCCAGCCAUGCCGCGUGAGUGAAGAAGGCCCUCGGGUUGUAAAGCUCUUUGUUGGGAAGAAAGCAGUUGGUUAAUACCCGAUUGUUCUGACGGUACCAAAGAAUAAGCACCGGCUAACUUCGUGCCAGCAGCCG
rnacentral:rRNA from 1 species